rnacentral:rRNA from 1 species
AAUAUUGCACAAUGGGGGAAACCCUGAUGCAGCCAUGCCGCGUGUGUGAAGAAGGCCUUCGGGUUGUAAAGCACUUUCAGUAGGGAGGAAGGUAGUGUAGUUAAUACCUGCAUUAUUUGACGUUACCUACAGAAGAAGCACCGGCUAACUCCGUGCCAGCAGCCGCGGUAAUACGGAGGGUGCGAGCGUUAAUCGGAAUUACUGGGCGUAAAGCGCAUGCAGGCGGCCUGUUAAGUCAGAUGUGAAAGCCCCGGGGCUUAACCUCGGAAUUGCAUUUGAAACUGGCAGGCUAGAGUCUUGUAGAGGGGGUAGAAUUUCAGGUGUAGCGGUGAAAUGCGUAGAGAUCUGAAGGAAUACCAGUGGCGAAGGCGGCCCCCUGGACAAAGACUGACGCUCAGAUGCGAAAGCGUGGGGAGCAAACAGGAUUAGAUACCCUGGUAG